UACGUAGGGUGCAAGCGUUGUCCGGAAUUAUUGGGCGUAAAGAGCUCGUAGGCGGUUUGUCGCGUCUGCUGUGAAAACCUAGGGCUUAACCCUGGGCCUGCAGUGGGUACGGGCAGACUAGAGUGCGGUAGGGGAGACUGGAAUUCCUGGUGUAGCGGUGAAAUGCGCAGAUAUCAGGAGGAACACCGGUGGCGAAGGCGGGUCUCAGGGCCGUAACUGACGCUGAGGAGCGAAAGCAUGGGGAGCGAACAGG
rnacentral:rRNA from 1 species